GUAGCAACAGGUUGCAAGAGUAUAAAAAGAGAUAUGACCGAAAAAACAAAAUGGUCGAAAGAUGGAAUCAAUGGAAUGUAUUAUAUUACGUGAAAUCUUCGAUGUACCUGAAUCGAAAUGAUAAAGCUCAGGCUUUCAAUAAAAUAUGCCAAGUUUUUAGUUAUAAAAGAAAUGGAAAACCUUGAAGUCCCAAUAUUUAAGAGGGCGCACUUUUAAAAAGCUGGAUCUGGCUUGAAUGAAAUUUUUACUUCAAAAUUAUGUUGUUUCGCAAUAUUUAAGAGGAAUUCACGAGUUGUGCACUUUUAAAAAAGCGGAUCUGGCUUGAAUGACAUUUUUACUUCAAAACUAUGGUGUUUCUUCCAUUUAAAACUUCUGAUGUCACACAAUCAAGUAAGGAGCGGAGAAUCAAAUUACGAGGAUCGUGAUUCGUUGAAUUUUAUUCCGGAAUUCGAUUCAGUAUUAAGUCAAUCAAAUGAAACAACAAGUAUCCAAACGACUUCAGCAUAAGUUUUUUAUAUAGUAAGGGCCGAAUUCACAGUGAUUAGUUAACCAAUACCAACGGCUUAACCCACUGCUUUUCAUUAACAAUGCUUAGUUAGCUAUUAGUUAAACCCCCAAUCUCUGCUGUCUAACUACUGGUCAA